GGCGCUAUAGCCAAGUGGUUACGGCGACAGAUUAGAAUUAACAAAGUGAUACGGAUGAUCUGUUCCUCUUUGAGGGCGCAGGUUCGAAUCCUGCUGGCGUCG